UACGGGGGGUGCAAGCGUUAAUCGGAAUUACUGGGCGUAAAGCGCACGCAGGCGGUUUGAUAAGUUAGAUGUGAAAGCCCCGGGCUUAACCUGGGAAUUGCAUUUAAAACUGGCCGUCUAGAGUCCUGUAGGGGGGGGUAGAAUUCCAGGUGUAGCGGUGAAAUGCGUAGAGAUCUGGAGGAAUACCGGUGGCGAAGGCGGCCCCCUGGAAAAAGACUGACGCUCAGGUGCGAAAGCGUGGGGAGCAAACAGG
rnacentral:rRNA from 1 species